UGCCGUGACCCGGAUUCGAACCGGGGUUAUUGCGGCCACAACGCAAGGUCCUAACCACUAGACUACAGU
rnacentral:tRNA from 1 species